rnacentral:rRNA from 1 species
CGUGUAGGCGGCUAGGUAAGUCAGAUGUGAAAACCCUUGGCUUAACCAAGGAAGUGCAUUUGAAACUGUCUGGCUUGAGUACGGGAGGGGGAAGUGGAAUUCCCGGUGUAGAGGUGAAAUUCGUAGAUAUCGGGAGGAACACCGGUGGCGAAGGCGGCUUCCUGGACCGAUACUGACGCUGAGACGCGAAAGCGUGGGGAGCAAACAGGAUUAGAUACCCUGGUAGUCCACGCCGUAAACUUUGGGCACUUGGUGUUGCGGGUAUUGACCCCUGCAGUGCCGAAGCUAACGCAUUAAGUGCCCCGCCUGGGGAGUACGGUCGCAAGGCUAAAA